rnacentral:rRNA from 1 species
UACGGAGGAGGCAAGCGUUAUCCGGAAUUAUUGGGCGUAAAGCGUCCGUAGGUGGUUGACCAAGUCUGCUGUCAAAGGGUGGGGCUUAACCUCAUAAAGGCAGUGGAAACUGGUGAGCUAGAGUGCGGUAGGGGUAAGGGGAAUUCCCAGUGUAGCGGUGAAAUGCGUAGAGAUUGGGAAGAACACCAGUGGCGAAGGCGCUCUACUGGGCCGUAACUGACGCUGAGGGACGAAAGCUAGGGGAGAGAAAGGG